AGAAGCAGAAGGUCCCUGAGCUGAGGGCAACAGGUCUGGCACAGAAGCAUCCUCAGGAGAGACCCACUGCUGGGUACAGAGCCCUGGAGGAGGCACCCUGAGGAUAGGGCGGAGACUCGGAGGCAUCUACAGCACCAGAUGCCAAAGACAGGCCACAAUGCUUCACUGAGUGCUUCACGGAGUAAAUAGAACAAGGAACAAUUCACCAGGUACUUUGGAGCAAAGACGAGUGAAGAUGCAGAUCCAGCUUCUCUCGCCAAAUUUGGUCCUCCUUAAGGAUCUAUUGCACGUGGAAGAAGACAAGUUGAAUCCGACAAAGUUCUUUUGCUCAAGAGUGAUAUGCCCUAUUAAGGGAGAUAACAGGGACACAGGUAAAUCUGUAAGUCAGCAGUAGAACAGUGUGUGACAACUGCCAUGUAAGUGGAGCAAAUGGGGCAUAUGCCUCAGACAAGGGAGGCUGAGUCUUACUGCGUUUAUUUUUACUUAACUUAUAUUGCAAGCAUUACGUCUGUAUACAGUGGGGAAAGAAAUAAAUGAUGAAGGAAGACUUGUAAGUCUUUAGGAACUUAGCGUUCUAACAGUCCCUCACACCUCUAAUCCCAGCACUUCGGGAGCCCGAGGUGGGUGGAUUGCAUGAGUCCAGGAGUUCAAGACCAGCCUGGGCAACAUGGUGAAACUCCAUCUCUACAAACAAUUAACUGGGCAUGGUGGCGUGCACCUGUGGUCCCAGCUACCUGGGAGGCUGAGGUGGGAGGAUCACCUGAGCCCAGGAGGCCAAGGUUGCCAUGAAUGCUAAUGCAUGCCAGCCUGAAUGACAGAGGGAGAUCCUGUCUCAAAAAAAUAAAAGGAAUUAGUAAAAAGAAAAUAUUUUGGCUUCACGGUGAUAGCUAUAGGGAAACUAGGUUUUCCCAGUCUUUCUAGAUAGUAUUUGAUCCUAUAUGCUCCAGAAUCCACGGGCUUUGACUUUGACUUUCUUUUGUCUUCUUUCCAUUCCUACCGACCUACUCACAUAGCUCCUUAGUUAUGUCAGACCAGCAAUGUCUCUGGGUCACCUCUUCGGACAAAACCAUAUUAUUGCUUAUGUUUGAAGCAGCAUCAAAGUCACCAGCUUCUCUCAAAGAAGAAGGUGACAUGUGACUAUGAUCCCUGAUGGCUGGAUUUUUGAUGCCAGGAUCCCUGUAGUCAGAAACUUCUUAUUUUUGGAACACUAUAUGGCUAUUUCAAGUGGAGGCUCAGUUCUUUCUGGGAGUUGUACUACGCAGCAUUUUCUUGUGUGAGAAAGGAAGCUAAUCCCCUUGGGGCGGCUGUGGGGCUAAUAACCUCGUUGUUAUAACUAAUCUACUUUAAAGUAUAAUUCUUCAAAGAUGCGUUUUACAAUUUUUAAAGCAUAUUAUUUUCACAGUUGAAGCACUCAGAGGAAAGGGGUAUUCAGGGUAUUUUGAAGAGAUUAGACACGUAUUUUUUCACGACAUUUUUCCCCCAUGAUUUUGUAGCCUCUCCCUACAGAAAGGAAUAAAAAGACGUUUCUCUUUGUUCCCCCUGUUCCUGCUCUUGUAAUUGGACUUGGAGUUCUUGCGGAAGGGAAAGAGAUUGAAGAUGC
rnacentral:lncRNA from 10 species